rnacentral:rRNA from 1 species
GACGAACGCUGGCGGCGUGGAUUAGGCAUGCAAGUCGGACGGUAGGGCUUUAUCGUAAGAUAGAGUUUGAGAGUGGCGAACGGGUGAGUAACACGUAGGAAUCUACCCUUAAGACGGGGACAACCCAGGGAAACUUGGGCUAAUACCGGAUGAGAGUGCGAGAGAUUGCAUUUAAAAGGAUGGCGAAAGUUGUCGCUUAGGGAUGAGCCUGCGGUCUAUUAGUUAGUUGGUGAGGUAAGAGCUCACCAAGGCGAUGAUAGAUAGGCGGCCUUAACGGGUGGUCGCCCACACUGGGAUUGAGAUACGGCCCAGACUCCUACGGGAGGCAGCAGUCGAGAAUAGUCUACAAUGGCCGGAAGGCUGAUAGUGCGACGCCGCGUGAACGAGGGAGCCCUUCGGGUGUAAAGUUCUUUUAUUAUGUGAGCAGUGCUUCUUAUAUUAACAGUAUGGGGAGAGAGAUAUUAGUCAUAUGAAUAAGCAACGGCUAACUCCGUGCCAGCACG